rnacentral:rRNA from 1 species
GAUGAACGCUGGCGGCGUGCCUAAUACAUGCAAGUCGAGCGAACGGAUUAAGAGCUUGCUCUUAUGAAGUUAGCGGCGGACGGGUGAGUAACACGUGGGUAACCUGCCCAUAAGACUGGGAUAACUCCGGGAAACCGGGGCUAAUACCGGAUAACAUUUUGAACCGCAUGGUUCGAAAUUGAAAGGCGGCUUCGGCUGUCACUUAUGGAUGGACCCGCGUCGCAUUAGCUAGUUGGUGAGGUAACGGCUCACCAAGGCAGCGAUGCGUAGCCGACCUGGGAGGGGGAUCGGCCACACUGGGACUGAGACACGGCCCAGACUCCUACGGGAGGCAGCAGUAGGGAAUCUUCCGCAAUGGACGAAAGUCUGACGGAGCAACGCCGCGUGAGUGAUGAAGGCUUUCGGGUCGUAGAACUCUGUUGUUAGGGAAGAACAAGUGCUAGUUGAAUAAGCUGGCACCUUGACGGUACCUAACCAGAAAGCCACGGCUAACUACGUGCCAGCCGCCGCCGUAA